CUCUCUCUGUCUCCCUCUCCCUCCCUCUCAGCCACAUUCGUUUCAGUCUCACCGUCGACGAAUAGCAUCCCUUGGAAGAUAACCGUCUUAAGCCGGCGUGACACGUUAGGAAAUAUUCCUCUCCGUGGCCGGCUGAAAAGGUGACCGGUUGGAGAUCAAAACCCUAGAACAACCAAAAUCUCACUGAAGAACCUUACGAAAAACAAAAGCAUCGUUGAGACUGCGAAAACAAGUUUAGAUGUUCUUCCUCGGCUUAAUUGAGCACACACUGCAUUUGCAUCCUUAUCUUCCGGACUUUCCUCUCGAUGAAGCCAUCAAAGGAGAGCUUGAGAGUUUCUCCUUAGAUAAGAUUGUGGACUCACACUGUUAAUGUGGAUGGAACACUAAACACAGCAAGGCACAUGCUAAUUGCAGUUGGGAGGUGCCCCUUCAUUCCAUAAAUUCCUCUCAGUGGAUAUGCCAUAGGUUCAGAUGCUGCCCUUGAUUUCCCUCAUAACCUAAAAAAAUUAUGAUACUUGGGGGUGAGUGCAUCGCUAUGGAUUUUGCUGGUAUCUUCAAUGGUUUGACCGGCUCAGUCCAUGUCGGAGACUUUGUUGCAGAAUAGAUGUCUCUAAGAGGAAUGGAGUUCCAUACAGAAGGGCCUCCUCAGGCUAUUCUCAAAUCAGCUGAUAGUUCUGUGUCUUUAGAGAAUGACAAAGGAAUAGUUGAAGGUUACUCCUAGUCUCCUAUAUAAUAUUAUCAUGUUUGCAACAGGACAGGGGUCUAAUACAAAGGUCGAUUUUUGUACGACUUCUACUUGGUAUAGCCUUUUUCUUUUCUUGAUAUUCCAAUCAAAGCAACAUUAGGUGUGUUUCCAUUUUGUUCUCUUAAUGUCAAAAGACGGAAUCACACUUCAUAACUUCCUGUGAUGCCUUGAUUGGUAAGUAUUCAAAAUAUGCUUGUACCGUGUACGACUCAUAAUCUUUCUUUUGAGAACUAAUUCUACACUUGAAAAGUAACGGAUGUGCCAAUUCUGAUUGGUUACAUGAACUAGA